rnacentral:rRNA from 1 species
GAUUAAGCCAUGCAUGUGUAAGCACAUGCCUUAAAAUGGUAAAGCCGCGAAUGGCUCGGUAUAACAGCCACCGUUUAUUAAACGUUAGUUAUCUACUCGGAUAACUGUGGCAAUUCUAGAGCUAAUACGUGCACGAAGGCUCGGACCUUAUGGGAAGAGCGCAUUUAUUAGACCAAAACCAAUCGAGCUUCGGCUUGUGUUUUGGUGACUCUGAAUAACUUAGUCGAUCGCACAGUCUUAGUACUGGCGACGUAUUUUUCAAAUGUCUGCCUUAUCAACUUUCGAUGGUAGGUUAUACGCCUACCAUGGUUAUAACGGGUAACGGAGAAUAAGGGUUCGACUCCGGAGAGGGAGCCUGAGAAAUGGCUACCACAUCCAAGGAAGGCAGCAGGCGCGCAAAUUACCCAAUCCCAGAACGGGGAGGUAGUGACGAAAAAUAACGAGGUAGUCCACUUUGUGGCCUGCCAUCGGAAUGGGUACAAUUUAAAUCUUUUAACGAGGAUCUAUUAGAGGGCAAGUCUGGUGCCAGCAGCCGCGGUAAUUCCAGCUCUAAUAGCGUAUAUUAAAGUUGUUGUGGUUAAAACGCCCGUAGUUGGAUUUUCGGUCUUGAAGCUCGGUAGCUCGUAAGGGUUUAACUGAGUCUUCUGGCCUAAAUUUUAGUUUUCUCCUGAUGCUCUUUAUUGAGUGUCUUGAGUAGCUAGAACGUUUACUUUGAAAAAAUUAGAGUGCUAAAAGCAGGCUAUAUGCUUGAAUAAAGUGCAUGGAAUAAUGGAAUAGGACUUUAGUUUUAUUUUGUUGGUUUUCGAAAUUAAAGUAAUGAUUAAGAGGAACAGACGGGGGCAUUAGUA